CCUCUGCCUGGCAGAGGCUUGUGCCUGAGCACCCCGUGGCUGUUUCCAGCCUCCCUACCUGCGAGACUGGGAAUUCAGGUAAGACCUCCACCAGGGCAGGG